rnacentral:rRNA from 1 species
UACGUAGGGGGCUAGCGUUGUCCGGAUUUAUUGGGCGUAAAGAGCUCGUAGGUGGUUCGGUAAGUCGGACGUGAAAUCCCUCGGCUCAACCGAGGAACUGCGUCCGAUACUGGCAGGCUGGAAUCCGGGAGAGGGAUGUGGAAUUCCAGGUGUAGCGGUGAAAUGCGUAGAUAUCUGGAGGAACACCGGUGGCGAAGGCGGCAUCCUGGACCGGUAUUGACGCUGAGGCGCGAAAGCUAGGGGAGCAAACGGG